AGCGAACGCUGGCGGCAGGCCUAACACAUGCAAGUCGAACGAACUCUUCGGAGUUAGUGGCGGACGGGUGAGUAACACGUGGGAACGUGCCUUUAGGUUCGGAAUAACUCAGGGAAACUUGUGCUAAUACCGAAUGUGCCCUUCGGGGGAAAGAUUUAUCGCCUUUAGAGCGGCCCGCGUCUGAUUAGCUAGUUGGUGAGGUAAAGGCUCACCAAGGCGACGAUCAGUAGCUGGUCUGAGAGGAUGAUCAGCCACAUUGGGACUGAGACACGGCCCAAACACCUAGGGGAGGAGCGGGGGGGAAGUUUGGCGAAAGGGCAAAAGGGCUAACGACGCCAGGCCGGGGAAAGGAUAAAGUUCUAGGGUGAAAAAAAUUUUUCCCCGGGGGAGAAUAAGGAGGGACCCGGAAGAAAAACCCCCGACAACCUUGGUC
rnacentral:rRNA from 1 species